rnacentral:rRNA from 1 species
UACAGAGGGGGCAAGCGUUGUUCGGAAUUACUGGGCGUAAAGGGCGCGUAGGCGGCCCGCUAAGUCGAACGUGAAAUCCCCGGGCUCAACCCGGGAACUGCGUCCGAUACUGGCAGGCUUGAAUCCGGGAGAGGGAUGCAGAAUUCCAGGUGUAGCGGUGAAAUGCGUAGAUAUCUGGAGGAAUACCGGUGGCGAAGGCGGCAUCCUGGACCGGCAUUGACGCUGAGGAGCGAAAGCCAGGGGAGCAAACGGG